rnacentral:rRNA from 1 species
UAGGGAAUCUUCGGCAAUGGACGGAAGUCUGAACGAGCAACGCCGCGUGAGUGAAGAAGGUUUUCGGAUCGUAAAGCUCUGUUGUUAGAGAAGAACGUUGGUAGGAGUGGAAAAUCUACCAAGUGACGGUAACUAACCAGAAAGGGACGGCUAACUACGUGCCAGCAGCCGCGGUAAUACGUAGGUCCCGAGCGUUGUCCGGAUUUAUUGGGCGUAAAUCGAGCGCAGGCGGUUCUUUAAGUCUGAAGUUAAAGGCAGUGGCUUAACCAUUGUACGCUUUGGAAACUGGAGGACUUGAGUGCAGAAGGGGAGAGUGGAAUUCCAUGUGUAGCGGUGAAAUGCGUAGAUAUAUGGAGGAACACCGGUGGCGAAAGCGGCUCUCUGGUCUGUAACUGACGCUGAGGCUCGAAAGCGUGGGGAGCAAACAGG